AUUUCUCUCCAGAAUGAAUCACCUUAUUUUUAGUAAAGUAUGAGAAUCAAUAAAAACCUUUGCCACAUUCUUCACAUUUGUAGGGUAUCUCUCCAGCAUGAAUUACCUUAUGUGUAGUAAGGGUUGAGUACCGGUUAAAAGCUUUGCCACAUUCUUGACAUUUGUAGAGUUUCUCUCCAGUAUGAAUUAUCUUAUGUGCAGUAAGGCAUGAGUACCAGUUAAAAGCUUUCUCACAUUCUUUACAUUUGUAGGGUUUCCUUCCAGUAUGAUUUCUCUUAUGUGCAGUAAGGUGUGAGGACUGGUUAAGAGCUUUCUCACAUUCUUCACAUUUGCAGGGUUUCUCUCUAGUAUGAACUCUCUUAUUUUUUUUAUUUAUUUAUUUAUUUUUUUGGAGAUAGAGUCUCUCUCUGUCAUCCAGGCUGGAGUGCAGUGGAGCCAUCUCAGCUCACUGCAACCUCCACCUCCUGGGUUCAAGCGAUUCUCCCACCUAGGCCUCCAGAGUAGCUGGGACUACAGGUGUGCACCACUACACCUGGCUAAUUUUUUAUAUUUUUAGUAGAGAUGGGGUUUCACCAUAUGGGCCAGGCUGGUCUUGAACUCUUGACCAGGUGAUCUGCCUGCCUCAGCCUCCCAAAGUGCUGGGAUUACAGGCAUGAGCCACCGCACCCAGUCAAACUCUUUUAUCUUUAGUAAGGGUAGAGGACCAUUGACCAGGUGAUCUGCCUGCCUCAGCCUCCCAAAGUGCUGGGAUUACAGGCAUGAGCCACCGCACCCAGUCAAACUCUUUUAUCUUUAGUAAGGGUAGAGGACCAGUCAAAGCCUUUGCCACAUUCUUCACAUUUGUAGAAAUUCUCUUCCGCAUGAAUUCUCCUAUGUGUAGUAAAGUAUGAGUACUGGUUAUAAGGUUUGCCACAUUUUUUACAUUUGUAGUGUUAUUCUCCAAUAUGAAUUAUCUUAUGUAUAGUAAGGGUUGAAGAUUGGUUAAAAGCUUUGCCACAUUCUUCACAUUUGUAGGGUGUCUCUCCAGUAUGAAUUUUCUUAUGUUUAGUAAGGUUUGAGGACCAGUUAUAAGCUUUGCCACAUUCUUCACAUUUGUAGGGUUUCUCUCCAGUAUGAACUCUCUUAUGUCUAGUAAGAGUUGAGGACUGGUUAAAAGCUUUUCCACAUUCUUCACAUUUGUAGGGUUUCUCUCCAGUAUGAGUUAUCUUAUGAUUAGUAAGGUUUGAGGAUUUUUAAAAAGCUUUGCCACAUUCUUCACAUUUGUAGGGUUUCUCUCCAGUAUGAAUUAUCUUAUGUCUAGUAAUUUGUGAGGAACAGUUAAAAGCUUUGCCACUUUCUUCAUGUUUGUAGGGUCUCUCUCCAGUAUGAAUCAUCUUAUGUGUAGUAAGGUAUGAGAAUUGGUAGAAAUCUUUGCCACAUUCUAAACAUUUGUAGGGUUUCUCUCCAUUAUGAAUUCUCUUAUGUUUAGUAAGGGUUGAGAAUACAUUAAAGGCUUUGCCACAUUCUUCACACUUGUAGGGUCUCUCUCCAGUAUGAAUUAUCUUAUGUUUAGUAAGGGUUGAGAAUACACUAAAGGCUUUGCCACAUUCUUCACAUUUGUAGGGUUUCUCACCAGUAUGAAUUCUCUUAUGUGUAGUAAGGCGUGAGUACCAGUUAAAAGCUUUGCCACAUUCCUCACAUUUGUAGCGUUUCUCUACAGUAUGAAUCAUCUUAUGUGUAGUAAGAUAAGAUAAUCGGUAGAAAGCUUUGCCACAUUCUUCACAUUUGUAGGGUUUCUCUCCAGUGUGAAUUCUCUUAUGUGUAGUAAGGUAAAUGAAUCGGUAGAAAGCUUUGCCACAUUCUUCACAUUUGUAGGGUUUCUCUCCAGUAUGAAUCAACUUAUGUGCAGUAAGGUAGGAGUAACAGUUAAAAGCUUUGCCACAUUCUUCACAUUUGUAGGGUUUCUCUCCAGUAUGAAUUAUCUUAUGUGUAGUAAGGUAUGAGAAUCUGAAGAAAGCUUUGCCACAUUCUCCACAUUUGUAGGGUUUCUCUCCAGAAUGAAUUUUCAUGAGUAGUAAGGUUUGAGGACUGUUUAAAAGCUUUGCCACAUUCCUCACAUUUGUAGGGUUUCUCUUCAGUAUGAAUUAUCUUAUGUCUAGUAAGGGUUGCGAAUACAUUAAAGGCUUUGCCACAUUAUUCACAUUUGUAGGGUUUCUCUCCAGUAUGAAUUAUCUUAUGUCUGGUAAGGUGCUUUAACUAAAAAAUAAACACAAAAUUUCAGGCAAGACACAUUGUAAGAAUAUGUCUGAGAGACUCUCAGAAUCUCUAACCCAGACAAUUGUUCAAAGUAUGCCAGGAGAAAGCCACAUUACAAAGACUGGGACAGGUAACAUUUUUUUAAUGUGCAAAUUUUAAUAAAAGAUUAGAA
rnacentral:lncRNA from 10 species